rnacentral:misc_RNA from 1 species
GAUGAAGAACGUAGCGAAAUGCGAUAAGUAAUGUGAAUUGCAGAAUUCAGUGAAUCAUCGAAUCUUUGAACGCACAUUGCGCCCGCCAGUAUUCUGGCGGGCAUGCCUGUUCGAGCGUCAUUACAACCCUCAGGCCCCCGGGCCUGGCGUUGGGGAUCGGCGGAGCCCCCCGUGGGCACACGCCGUCCCCCAAAUACAGUGGCGGUCCCGCCGCAGCUUCCCUCGCGUAGUAGCUAACACCUCGCGACUGGAGAGCGGCGCGGCCACGCCGUAAAACACCCAACUCUUCUGAAGUUGACCUCGAAUCAGGUAGGAAUACCCGCUGAACUUAAGCAUAUCAAUAACGGAGGA